rnacentral:lncRNA from 1 species
AAACCAGAUGCUCCGCAGGGCACAGCUUUAUACGACCGCAGAGGUUGAACCCUGAACGGUUGGGGCAAGUAUGGACACAACAUUCAAGCUGGAUUCAGCUCUAAAUUUGGAUUGUGAUUAAAUAGUUGACACAGCAUAGGUUUCUGACACAGAAUGAAUGUGGUCUAAUGAACUUAAAAUACUUUUUUUUCCUUUGAGUAAUUCACUAUGCUGUUGAAUAUUAAUCCUCUCAAAAAAAUGUUUGAAGAAAUUUUCUUUUUAUUUAUGAAAUCUGAAAUGAGAAAAAUUUAACCCCCCCCCCAUUUUUUUUUUCACAUCCCCCUUUCCCUUUUUCCAAAACUGAUCUCAAUUCAAAUUUCUAAUGGAG